rnacentral:rRNA from 1 species
CGUACGACGGCCGGUGAUUCGAGCUCGGUCCACGCGGGGAGUAUUUCAGGAUCUCCUGCCCCGUCCUGCUUCGGGGUUCGAUUAAGCCAUGCUUUCUGAGAGGGUUCAGACCCUCGGCGGACUGCUCAGUAACACGUGGAUAAUCUGCCCUAUGGUGGAGGAUAACCCCGGGAAACUGGGGAUAAUACUCCAUAAGUCAGGAGUACUUUUUAUCCCUUCUAACUGAAAGUUGCGGCGCCAUAGGAUGAAUCUGCGGCCGAUUAGGUAGUUGUUGGGUUUCUCACAUACUAAUAUUUUUAAUCGGUACGGGUUGUGGGAUCUUUUAUUUUUGGAGAUGGAAUCUGAGACACCCCCUCCCGGCCCUACGGGGCGCAGCAUGCGCGAAAACUUUACAAUGCAGGAAACUGUGUUUAUGGUUUUUUCCGAGUGCCCGUAAACGCGGGCUGUCCCGGUGUUUAAAACACAUCGGAAGGAAGGGCCGGGCAAGACCGGUGCCAGCCGCCGCGGUAAUACCGGCGGCUCGAGUGGUGACCACUUUUAUUGGGCUUAAAGCGUUCGUAGCUUGAUUUUUAGUCUCUUGGGAAAUCUCACGGCUUACUGUGAGCGUCUAGAGAUACUGGGAAUCUAAGGACGGGAGAGUAGAGUACUUCAGGGUAGAUGAUCUGUAUCUUGAGGACACCGAUGCUAAGAUCUUUACCAAAACGCUCCCCCGAGGGAGCACCCU